CUUUAACUGUUAGUUUACGUGUAGUUCAUAGGGAAUAAGACACUAGAAAAAUAAGGUGGAUAUUGCACGAUGGACACGAGUGUGUGAUGAUGGUGGUGAAGGUCUCGUGGCCUGAGAAGUUGCACCAAUUCUUCGUUUCUUAGUACCAAAUCUGACUACUGUCUUACCACUUCUCCGUGAACAUAAGUAUAAUAAUUUUCUCUUGUUUUAGCUGCUGCGAUGAAUCAGUAUUGUAAUUUAGACGCCAAUCUUCUUGCAGAAGACAUCAGCUCCAGACCACGACUUUUCCCAGGCAUCUUCCAAGAUACUGUCACAUCUCAGGUCAAGGAUUCACGUUCAGUAGAAGACAGUGAAGGGGUUAAAAAGUGAAUUUGCAACAGGCAAAGUGAAAACUCUAGUAUCAUGACCUUUUGAUGAUUUGGUAAAGUAUUAUAGUUAAAUUAGCCCAACAUAUAAUCAAAGUCAAUAAGGCUGGAGAAGACAAAGCCUUCGCGAAUAAUCAACAUUACUCACAAAAAAAUGAGUGACAGAAUAUGUGAAGCAAUUUACAAUGCCAGCAAUUUCCAGAGAUGAUGUGCACGAAAUUAUAGCCUUGUGAUGGUAAUGCAGGCAGUUUCCGAGUCGAUCGUAACAGGUCUUGGUCUGUCAAUGUGAGGAAGAUUUGAAGAUCCACAUCUUGCUCCCGGAAGAUACUCAUGUAUGAGCUCAGUCCCAAUUUGGUCCAGCAGGGUCUCAAGGUCGCAGUGUCAUGAAGAUCAUGAAGUGUAGACAGUGAGUGUCUCGAUAGUUUUACAAUGAUGAAACAUUAGGCUUUACAUAGAGGGUGUCAUCUGGGGACAAGGAGAAGUCCAUAGUGAUGAACAGCAUCAAACAUGGAAAUAUUAGCUGCUGAAGCAAAUACAUCUGAUCCCCCAUAAUCAAAUUUAUGUAUUAGAAAGACCAUAUGAAGAUGAAGAAAAACUCACUUGUCAGCCCCUCUUCCUCCUCAAGUAAAUUGUGACAAAAUUUUAAGUAAAUUCAGUCUGCUAAGACAUGCCACUUUUAGGAAUGUCACACAUACUUUCCAUGACAUUCUACAGUCAAAGUGGAAGCACAGAAAUUUAACAGUUUGACAGACCAGGAAAGGAAAAAAAGAGUAGUGGUACCAAUACUUUUAUAUAGAAGUGAGGCAUGGGAUCCAAAAGCUGUAGCAAGGAGAACUGAAGACAGUGAAGAUUUCAUGUUUGAGAGGAAUGUGUGAUGUAAUAUGCAUAAAAUUCAGAGCAUAAAAAUUAGAUGAUGGAGCAGGCUUACCAAAAUGGCUAAUUCAGAGGACUUAGAAGGGGUUAUUGAGGUGGUUUGGGCAUUUAGACAAGAUGGAGUAUAAUAGGAUGAUCAAGAGGGUGUAUAAAUCUGAGGCAGGGGGGAUGGGGAAGGAGGGAGAGGGUAGGGGUCAUCCCAGAAAGGGUUGAAGUAGGUUUUCAGUUCUAGGGGCUUGUGCAUCCACUAGAUUUGUACAAGCAUCUUUGAUCAGUGUGGAAGAUGAGUAGUAUUCUUGGCUUGACCUGCUACUGAAGUGUGAGCAAAGUAACAUUUAUGUAGGGACUCAGGGAAAAACUGGAUAGCCAGACUGUGUCGUGGAGAUGGAAAGCAUAGUGCCUGCAUUCUGAAGGAAGGGUGGGGAUACUGCAGCUUGGAGGAUUCUUCGAACUGCAAUAUUUUGAGUGAUGGUGAAUGUGCUUACUAUUUUUCAAUGUUUAUAAUUGUGUUGAACUAUGUGGAAGUGUAAGGACAAUUAUAUGUUUUACAUAAUAUUUAAUACUUGACACUAAACAAUAAUCAACAGUAGAAUUUUUUAUGGUUGAUGAGGUAAAAAUUGGAGUGAAAAUAGACCAGGACAGCACAAAAUUUCCUUUAUAAAAUGAGGAUUAAUAAUGAAUUAUUCCAACCACAGUAUUGUGACUUUUACUUUUUUUAACAUUAAAAUAUAAAUUGUAACUUCCAUUUUUCCUGAUCUGUGCCAGAGCACUACAUAAAUGCUGAAAUUUAAGUACUGUAUAGAUUUUUUUUUUGUAACAAGUCGGCUGUCUCCCACUGAGGCAGGGUGACCCAAAAAGAAAAUCCCCAAAAAGAAAAUACUUUCAUCAUCAUUCAACACUUUCACCUCACUCACACAUAAUCACUGUUUUUGCAGAGGUGCUCACAACACAAUACUGUAUAGGUAUAGUCAUUAUAAUGAUGGAUGAAAAUUAUCACUUGCAUUAUAUUUAUUACCCUACAUCAUUUAUCACAAAGCAAACCUGACAUAAC